GGAACUCUGGAGCACAAGCGGCCGUCGCCCGCAGGGACUGCCCACGCCGCGCCCCAGAGACUUCGGGAGCACCUGUUGUACCAGGAGUUGGCAGAGAGAACAUCCCUGGGGCCAGCUGGAGGAAUCUUGGGGGAUGACAUUCCUGCCAUUUCCACCAUGGCAGGCUGAACUUGUCCUCAAGUUGCAAAACUACUGGACAGGGUCUAUCUGGAGGGAUGUGCUCGUAUUCACUCAGGGAAGUCAGACACAGCCUUGAUCCGGGAGGCAGGAGUGUGAAGCAAAACCUGCCUGAGUGUCAGGACACCAGGAUUCUGCCCUUGGUCUGACAGUCACAAUUUGGAUGACUUUGGGUAAGUUCCUUCCCCUUUCUGUGACUGUGUCGCAUUUUGUACAGUGAGGAGUUUGGGUUAUUGAUCCCAGUGGUUCUAAAUCUUGACUGACCAUUUGAAUCACCCAGGAGUUGGGUUUUUCCCCAUCACUUUAUUGAAGCAUAAUUUACAAACAAUAAAAUGUACCCAUUAUAAGUAUACAGUUUAUUGAAUUUUGACAAAUGUUUACAUUUGUGUAACCACCACCCCGAUCAAGUUAUAGAACAUUCCCCUCACCCCCAACCUUCGUCUAUAUUCCACUGCAAUCACAUCCCCACAAUCCCAGUCCCAGGCAAUCACUGAUUGAUAUCUGUCAUUAGAGAUUUGUGGUACCUUUUCAAAAAUUUUGUAUAAGUGGAAUCAUAUGUCAUAUGUCGGUUUACUUAGCAUGAUGUUCUUGAGACUCUUCAUCCUGUUGUAUGCACCAAUAGUUACUCCUUUUCAUUGCCAAGUAGAAUCCCAUUAAAUGGAUGUACCACACUUUGUUUAUCCAUUUAUCUAUUUCUGAAUAUUUGUUCUGUUUCCAGAUUUAACUGGUAUGAGUAAAGCUGCCAGGCAGUGGUUAAAUUUGUUCAUAUUUAUUCGGUGUAUGAAUAAAUGAAUUAUUAAAUAUGUGUUGGCCUGUUUGUAAUCACAUGUAUUGAGGCCCUAGAUUUCAUCAGUAGCUCUGUCUAAAUCAUGUUGCAUCACCAGUAAUUGCUGUCACUAACCCCUGAAUCCCUUGGUUUUACUGACAGUUAUCAUUUCAUCUCUA